UACGUAGGGGGCAAGCGUUGUCCGGAAUCAUUGGGCGUAAAGAGCGUGUAGGCGGCUCGGUAAGUCCGCUGUGAAAGUCCAGGGCUCAACCCUGGAAUGCCGGUGGAAACUGUCGAGCUAGAGUCCGGAAGAGGCGAGUGGAAUUCCUGGUGCAACGGUGAAAUGCGCAGAUAUCAGGAGGAACACCAAUGGCGAAGGCAGCUCGCUGGGACGGUACUGACGCUGAGACGCGAAAGCGUGGGGAGCAAACAGG
rnacentral:rRNA from 1 species